rnacentral:rRNA from 1 species
ACGUACACUCCUGCGGGAAGGCAGCAGUGAGGAAUAUUGGACAAUGGGUGGAAGCCUGAUCCAGCCAUCCCGCGUGCAGGAAGACGGCCCUAUGGGUUGUAAACUGCUUUUAUCUGGGGAUAAACCUACUUACGUGUAAGUAGCUGAAGGUACCAGAAGAAUAAGCACCGGCUAACUCCGUGCCAGCAGCCGCGGUAAUACGGAGGGUGCAAGCGUUAUCCGGAUUUAUUGGGUUUAAAGGGUCCGUAGGCGGACUGAUAAGUCAGUGGUGAAAUCCGACAGCUUAACUGUCGAACUGCCAUUGAUACUGUUAGUCUUGAGUAAGGUUGAAGUGGCUGGAAUAAGUAGUGUAGCGGUGAAAUGCAUAGAUAUUACUUAGAACACCAAUUGCGAAGGCAGGUCACUAAGUCUUAACUGACGCUGAUGGACGAAAGCGUGGGGAGCGAACAGGAUUAGAAACCCCAGUAGUCCCAUGA